rnacentral:rRNA from 1 species
UACGUAGGGUGCAAGCGUUGUCCGGAAUUAUUGGGCGUAAAGAGCUCGUAGGCGGCCUGUCGCGUCGGCUGUGAAAACCCGGGGCUCAACCCCGGGCCUGCAGUCGAUACGGGCAGGCUAGAGUCCGGCAGGGGAGACUGGAAUUCCUGGUGUAGCGGUGAAAUGCGUAGAUAUCGGGAGGAACACCAGUGGCGAAGGCGACUACCUGGCCUGUUCUUGACGCUGAGGCGCGAAAGCUAGGGGAGCAAACGGG